UACGUAGGGUGCAGGCGUUAAUCGGAAUUACUGGGCGUAAAGCGUGCGCAGGCGGUUUGCUAAGACAGGUGUGAAAGCCCCGGGCUUAACCUGGGAAUGGCGGUUGAAACUAGUCGACUAGAAUCUGGCAGAGGGGGGUGGAAUUCCACGUGUAGCAGUGAAAUGCGUAGAGAUGUGGAGGAACACCGAUGGCGAAGGCAGCCCCCUGGGCUGAGAUUGACGCUCAGGCACGAAAGCGUGGGGAGCAAACAGG
rnacentral:rRNA from 1 species